GUCCGGAAUCAUUGGGCGUAAAGGGUCCGUAGGUGGCUUGAAAAGUCUUAUGUGAAAUCUCUUGGCUACAACCAAGAAAAGCCAUAAGAAACUUUCAUGCUAGAGAUCAUCAGAGGGAGGUAGAAUUUCAGGUGUAGUGGUGAAAUGCGUAGAUAUCUGAAGGAAUACCAAUGGCGAAAGCAGCCUCCUGGGGUGAAUCUGACAUUGAGGGACGAAAGCGUGGGUAGCGAAGAGGAUUAGAUACCCUCGUAGUCCAUGCCGUAAACGAUGUGUGUUAGACGUUGGAAAUUUAUUUUCAGUGUCGCAGCGAAAGCGAUAAACACACCGCCUGGGGAGUACGACCGCAAGGUUAAAACUCAAAUGAAUUGACGGGGACCCGCACAAGUAGUGGAGCAUGUGGUUUAAUUCGAAGAUACGCGCAGAACCUUACCAACACUUGACAUGUUCGUCGCGACUCUAAGAGAUUAGAGUUUUCGGUUCGGCCGGACGAAACACAGGUGCUGCAUGGCU
rnacentral:rRNA from 1 species